rnacentral:rRNA from 1 species
GGCACUGAGACACGGGCCCUACUCCUACGGGAGGCAGCAGUGGGGAAUCUUGGACAAUGGGCGAAAGCCUGAUCCAGCGACGCCGCGUGGGGGACGAAGCCCUUCGGGGUGUAAACCCCUGUUGCGAGGGAGGAAUAAGACCUGGAGGAAAUGCCAGGUCGAUGACUGUACCUCGCGAGAAAGCCCCGGCUAACUACGUGCCAGCAGCCGGCGAGUAACUACGUAGGGGGUCGAGCGUUACCCGGAUUCACUGGGUCGUAAAUGGGGGUGUAGGCGGACUCGGUAAGUCGGGUGUGAAAUCCCACCGGCUCAACCGUGGAAUUGCGCCCGAAACUGCCGAGCUUGGGGCCGGUAGAGGGAGACGGAACUGCCGGUGUAGGGGUGAAAUCCGUAGAUAUCGGCAGGAACGCCGGUGGGGAAGCCGGUCUCCUGGGCCGCGCCCGACGCUGAGGCCCGAAAGCUAGGGGAGCAAACCGGAUUAGAUACCCGGGUAGUCCUAGCCGUAAACGAUGCCCACUAGGUGUGGGGGAGUAUUUCCUCCGUGCUGUAGCUAACGCGUUAAGUGGGCCGCCUGGGGAGUACGCCCGCAAGGGUGAAACUCAAAGGAAUUGGCGGGACCCCGCACAAGCGGUGGAGCGCGUGGUUUAACUUGGAUGCUGAGCCAAGAACCUUACCAAGGCUUGACAUGCAGGUGGUACUGACCCGAAAGGGGAGGGACCCCAUCCUUUUGGGUGGGGAGCCUGCACAGGUGGUGCACGGCCGUCGUCAGCUCGUGCCGUGAGGUGUUGGGUUAAGUCCCGCAACGAGCGCAACCCCUGCCCUUAGUUGCCAUCGGUUCGGCCGGGCACUCUAAGGGGACUGCCGGCGACGAGCCGGAGGAAGGAGGGGACGACGUCAGGUACUCGUGCCCUUUAUGCCCUGGGCUACACACGCGCUACAAUGGGUGGUACAGUGGGUUGCGACCCCGCGAGGGGGAGCCAAUCCCUAAAACCACCCCCAGUUCGGAUCGCAGGCUGCAACCCGCCUGCGUGAAGCCGGAAUCGCUAGUAAUCGCGGAUCAGCCACGCCGCGGUGAAUACGUUC